ACUGCAGGGAAGAAGAAGUUCUGAGCAGACUGUCCAGCCGAUGGAAGGACGAGGAGGACCACGAAACAUUAAACCCUUUCCAGAAAUGGUAAAAGCAAGCUGCCACGAAAAUUCUGUGCAGUUCUAUGCUACAAUCUAUAGAAGAGUACGUACACAAUUGAAGGAACACUUGACCAUCUUCUUUGAUCACAAUGAACUUUAAAAAUCACUCAUUCUCUGAUACAAAUUAAGUUGCUUAUUUAUUCAGUACACAAAAAUCAGAGAAGAGGAGGGCACCAGGAACUGCAGGCGGACAGGAUAGAACCCACCUUCUCCGCUUCAAGCAAUACAGGGCACCUGCCUUUCCCUUGCAAACAGCUCUCCCCUCUGAAGACUAAGGCAAAGCUCAUCCCAAAGAGCAGGAAAUUCAGGGAACUGAGGAUAAAUUCAACUGUCGUUGGGAGCAGCGUGAUGUAAGACAAGUGGCAAUAAAGGGCAUGCUGAAACUGCUCUUAUUAAAUCAAUUAUCUUGGACACUGAAACUUCAGAUACAGCCUCCACAAGUUUUCUCUUCUUUUUGUCCAAGUUUGGGCUAUUUCUAACAACGUAAAAGAAAACACAGCAGGAGGAACAGGAAAUCCCUGAAGCAACUUUUCUUUACUGACCCUUCAUAAGUAUCUCUUCCCAUCCGGAGGCCUGUGGGUUAUCAAUCUGUACUUUAAAGAUUCCCAUUACUUCCCCCUCUUUCACUCCCGUCUUUCUCCUCUACCUCUUUCUGUGUCUAUUUUCCCCCACAGCCCUCAUUCUUACUCUCUCGGCUGGGAAUGCUUCGUA